GGUUUGACUAUUCACGGCAAGACGAUUGAGAUCGGAUUUACAAUAAAUAAGUUCAGUUAAUCUACUCCAGGUGGCGUAUACUCGGCAAAUGCUAUCCCGAUUGCUCCCACUCUAUGGUCCGCGAUGACGGCGCUCUUCGAUGAAUCUGUCGAAGUUCUGUGUUCUAUCAGCUAACCUCCAAAUUCCAAUUGUCAAAUUUCGCCGGGUGGUUCCAAAUUUCGAUUUCCCACUCCAUCGGUGAAGGAAAUGCCGGAAAAUAGUGGAAACAGUGCAGGACGGAAUCUUCAAAGGUGAACUUCGCAAAGCCGGCUCCGGGCACAUGUCAUGGGGGUUAACAGUUACCAAUAUCAUCCAACCAGGGUAGCUUGGAACACCAGACCGCGUCGCUGGCUCCCCUUGUGACGGUGGUGAAAUUCUCCGAUGGCGUUGGAGUCAGCAGUAGUUGUAGGUUGCAUAAAAAUGAGAGAAAAGCAUUUAGUAUACUGAUAUCCUGGAGCAGAGGGA